rnacentral:rRNA from 1 species
AUGGUCAUUGAGGACACACCUUCACUUGUAGUUGAUCAAGAAGGUCCAACAAGAAUCAACGUCAUUUCUGCACCGAAAUUGACAGUGGUGGGCUACUCGUUUGACAAAUACUCCAAAUUUGUUAUUGGAUCCACAUCUGUUCAGAUAAGAUUAGGCCCAGUGGUCGAUAAUGUGAUACAACAUAAUAAUCACAUCGAAUGCCUAGAUCUGCAUCUCUCAGAAAUUACUUUGAACUCCUAUCGAGGGACCUUACAGGAGAUUAUAUUCGCCAGGUUCUUUGUUGUCAGAGCAAGGGUGCUAAAGGUAAUGAGGUUUGCCCUACAUUUAUUUCGCAAAAAAAUGGUUUGUCGAUUAGCGUCGGUGGCUGCGGCAGAAUGGAAUAGGCUCCGAAAAUGCUGA